GGGGUUGUAGCUCAGUGGUAGAGCACUUGCCUAGCAUGUGUGAGGCAGAGUUUGAUUCUUAGCAUCA
rnacentral:tRNA from 1 species